CGUGCAGGCGGUUUGGCAAGUCAGAUGUGAAAGCCCUGGGCUUAACCCGGGAAGUGCAUUUGAAACUGCCUUUCUUGAGUAUGGGAGAGGAGAGUGGAAUUCCCAGUGUAGAGGUGAAAUUUGUAGAUAUUGGGAGGAACACCCGUGGCGAAGGCGACUCUCUGGACCAAUACUGACGCUGAGACGCGAAAGCGUGGGGAGCAAACA
rnacentral:rRNA from 1 species